CCUACGGGAGGCAGCAGUGAGGAAUAUUGGUCAAUGGGCGCGAGCCUGAACCAGCCAAGUCGCGUGAGGGAAGACGGUCCUAUGGAUUGUAAACCUCUUUUGUCGGGGAGCAAAAGACGCCACGUGUGGCGUUCCGAGAGUACCCGAAGAAAAAGCAUCGGCUAACUCCGUGCCAGCAGCCGCGGUAAUACGGAGGAUGCGAGCGUUAGCCGGAUUUCUUGGGUUUAAAGGGUGCGCAGGCGGAAGAUCAAGUCAGAGGUAAAAUUGAGAGGCUCAACCUCUUCGAGCCGUUGAAACUGGUUUUCUUGAGUGAGCGAGAAGUAUGCGGAAGGCGUGGUGUAGCGGUGAAAUGCAUAGAUAUCACGCAGAACUCCGAUUGCGAAGGCAGCAUACCGGCGCUCAACUGACGCUCAUGCACGAAAGUGUGGGUAUCGAACAGGAUUAGAUACCCUUGUAGUC
rnacentral:rRNA from 1 species